UCUUUUUGCGAAUACAGACUAACACGGCUGCUACUCUAAAUCAUGUCAUACUGUAACAUGAUUAUAUAACCAAUUAUAUUCCACCACCUUAAUUAGUUUACACCCAGCAAAAUUAAUUACACAGCAGACAAACAAUCACAGAACCAGACAGAUUAUAUAGACA